rnacentral:rRNA from 1 species
GACGAACGCUGGCGGCGUGCUUAACACAUGCAAGUCGAACGGAAAGGCCUUUUCGGAGGUACUCGAGUGGCGAACGGGUGAGUAACACGUGGGUGAUCUGCCCUGCACUCUGGGAUAAGCCUGGGAAACUGGGUCUAAUACCGGAUAGGACCGCACUUUAGUGUGUGUGGUGGAAAGGUUUUUCGGUGUAGGAUGAGCCCGCGGCCUAUCAGCUUGUUGGUGGGGUAAUGGCCUACCAAGGCGGCGACGGGUAGCCGGACUGAGAGGUUGGUCGGCCACAUUGGGACUGAGAGACGGCCCAGACUCCUACGGGAGGCAGCAGUGGGGAAUAUUGCACAAGGGGCGCAAGCCGGAUGCAGCGACGCCGCGGGGGGGAUGACGGCCUUCGGGUUGAAAACUCAUUUCGCCAGGGACGAAGCGUUUUGUGACGGUACCUGGAGAAGAAGCACCGGCUAACUACGUG